rnacentral:ribozyme from 1 species
ACAGGUCAUAGCCUGUCUAAACAGUCCUUUAAGCUAUGAGCGUUGCAAGUCUAUAACAGGCUUGCAGGUUGGA